GUCGGGCAGCCGCCAGGCAGGUUCUUCCGCCCCGAGCUGGCCUGGCGCCUCCCGGCCGCCAUAGGCAGAGGCUGGGGAGCGUGGCCCCGAGUGCUCACCUGGGGUCGAGGAGUACCGAGGGGCUUAGGCCGGGCUCCGGGUCAUUCGUUCGUCCUCUCAUUCAUUCAUUCCUUGAGCCGACUCUGGAAUUGAGAUGGGUUCGGUGGAUCCUAGAAGGAUUGUGGAGAUGCAGGAGUUGACCAAGUGGAAUUGCUGUAAACGUUGGCCAGCAAGAAGCAGCGUCACUUGUAGAAUCUUGGGCCUUUCUCCUGACCCCUGCAGGGAUUCGGAGACCGAGCAGCUACAGGAAGCUAAUAGACAGCCGCCAGGUUCUUGCCUGGAAGCCACCCAAUGCAGUAGGAGACCCACUCAUCCACAGAAGUAGAUUUCGAAGGAUCAUCUGCCCUGCAGCUGUCAAAGAACUUAACUGGAGGUGGAGCCAGCCUCGAGGCCUUCCUCAGAAGGGGUUGGAGGGCUUGCCGUCCUGCAGAGUCAUGUCCUCAGGGAGGUCCUCUCUUCAUUCCAGUUUCUGGGGCUGGAUGCCGGCGUCUUCCAGCACCGGCCACAGAGCGUCGUGCACCUGAAGACAAGAAUCAGAGGGUGUUUUCCUCCGCCUCCUGCUUCAGGCGCUGCCACUUGCCCUGAGCUUCCGGGGCUAAACGCCGGCUUUCUGGCGCGUGACCUACACCUCGGUGCUGUGCUUGGCCUGUGAACCAAGAAGAUGUGUUCUGCCCUGCGGAAGCUGGUGACCCAGAGAAAGAAGAGACAAAUCUGGAUCGACCUUGCGUCCUUUCUCUGCUUUCCAAACAAAUCCGAAUGUUCGGACAUGAACUUGACAGUGUUCAUCUCACCGUUGCCCUGGAGACAGUAAGUCAGAUGUGUACAUAUCUUUUCGGUCUCUGCAGUCUGUCCUGUUACCUAUUUUUACUCUUGGAUACCCUUAAAAAGAAACUUUAAACUUUGAAACAAACCCCAGUGCUCUUGGUCUUUGGGUUGUAUACCUUUUGACAGCCUUCAAUGCAAAACAGUACAGCUCUGCCCAGACUGUUUCUGCGGUACACGGCAGACCCAGCCAGGGUGAGCCAAGCCAGCAGGCAUUUGUUUAACACUUAGUAUUUUGAUUUACCUAAGGUAGGCACUUCUCCUACUUCUUCUGCUGUGUUACUUGUUCUAAUUCAGCUUCUUUUCCUGUGCUGUUAUUGCUAACUAGAGCCAGUUAAAGAAUGGAAAGAGAGCUAACAAGGGGUUUGUAGGAUGGUAAGUAGAAUUUUCUUGCUCGGCAUUUUGGCUCACGUACCAUUCUUUGAAAACCUGGGUUAUCUAGGACUCAGCCAUCGUCACUAAACUUAUUUACCACGGAAUUCUUUAUUCUCUCAUUUACAACUGCCUUGAAGAAUACUUGAGAAUGUUAGACUUAUCCAAAUGUGAAGUGCACCGAAACUCAGGGUAACCCUUUGACUCUGUAAAAUGAAGCCCAGGUGUAUAGAUUAAUGUCCAGAAGAGAGUUUUUGAAGGAGUGGCCCUUUCAAAUAAUUCUUAUUAGCUAGGACAACAUUUAAAAACUCCUGUGUUAAGCCCCUCAUAUAAUGCUUUGUGCUUUGACAGGCUUCUCUAACUCCCCUGGACAGAGCGAGUUGUUUUUCCAAGUCUCCUCUGCCCUAUGUACUGUAUUUAUCUAUUUUAUUUACUUUUAAAUUCUCUUCUUGCCUACGAUAGUGACUGGGACGUAAUAGGUGACCAGAAAAACGCUUGUUGAAUUGAACUGAGGAAGAGCCUUCCUUAUUCUGAUACUGUGCCAAAACAAUCUACACUGAGUAUUAUAAUGAGUGGUGAAAUAUUUAAAAGCUUUCCUUUGAGAUUGGGACCUAAACAAGCAUGUCCGCUAUCAUCACUUCUUUUUAAUGUCCCAUUGCA